UACAGAGACCUCGAGCGUUAUCCGGAAUUACUGGGCGUAAAGGGUGCGUAGGCGGCACUGUUAGUCGCGGGUCAAAUCCUCAGGCUCAACCUGAGACCCGCCCGCGAAACGGCAGAGCUGGAGGGCAGGAGAGGUGUAUGGAACCCAUGGUGUAGGGGUGAAAUCCGUUGAUAUCAUGGGGAACACCAAAUGCGAAGGCAAUACACUGGCCUGUUCCUGACGCUGAUGCACGAAACCUUGGGUAGCGAAAGGG
rnacentral:misc_RNA from 1 species